GAUGAACGCUAGCUACAGGCUUAACACAUGCAAGUCGAGGGGUAACGAGAGGAAAGCUUGCUUUCCUUGUCGACGACCGGCGCACGGGUGAGUAACGCGUAUCCAACCUGCCCCCAACUAGGGAAUAACCUUGCGAAAGUAAGACUAAUACCCUAUAAUUUCCUCAGAUGACAUCUGACGAGGAAUAAAGAUUUAUUGGUUGUGGAUGGGGAUGCGUCUGAUUAGCUUGUUGGCGGGGUAACGGCCCACCAAGGCAACGAUCAGUAGGGGUUCUGAGACGAAGGUCCCCCAAAUUGGAACUGAGACAGGGUCCAAACUCCUACGGGAGGCAGCAGUGAGGAAUAUUGGUCAAUGGGCGGAAGCCUGAACCAGCCAAGUAGCGUGCAGGAUGACGGCCCUAUGGGUUGUAAACUGCUUUUAUACAGGAAUAAAGUUAGCCACGUGUGGUUAUUUGUAGGUACUGUAUGAAUAAGGACCGGCUAAUUCCGUGCCAGCAGCCGCCGUAA
rnacentral:rRNA from 1 species